ensembl:lncRNA novel transcript
AUUAUCUCUGCUAUUGAAAGCACAAGGAGGAGGAAUUGCAGCUGGCCACUAGAGGGAGCCUCAUUCACGGAUCUUAUGGAAUCAAGUUUAGGAGGACCAAGUGUCGCCACGUCUAGGCUUCCUGGGCACUUUGACACCAUCCAGGCUUCUUGUGAGGAGGAGGUAUCAACAGCUGUGCCCACUGGGAGGCUUUCAGAUGCAGCAUCCACCAAGGAAUACACCGACUAACACACAUGACAGCCUGAACUAGCAACCUGCAUCAACACCCCUGCAGAAAAGCAGUGCAUUUCAACUGCUCAUUUAAUAAGUAUUUGAAUUCAUAAUUACAAAACAUCUUCUGUAAUUAAACCACCAUAUGCAUUUAAAAUAUUUUGGGGACAAAGAGUAGCAAAGAAUUAUAUUGGAUAUUGACUAAAAACACUUAUGAAUAUCAAUAAUUUGCUCCUCCUCCCUUUUCAUCAUAGACUCUUUACAAUGAUACUGACCUUGGGGUUGAUCACAAAGUAGGUUUUCACCAGGUGC